GACGAACGCUGGCGGCGUGCUUAACACAUGCAAGUCGAGCGGAGCGGCGAACGGGUGAGUAACGCGUGAGUAACUGCCCCCCUAUCUGGGAUACCAGGUGGAAACGGAUGCUAAUACCGGAUAGUGGGGGAUGACUCGCGUACUAUCAGCUUGUUGGUGGGGUAGUGGCCUACCAAGGCGACUACGGGGAGCCGGCCUUAGAGGGCGACAGGCCACAUUGUGCUGCGAUACGGUCCCAACUCCUACGGGAGUCCGCAGUGGGGAAUAGUGCACCAUGGUGCAAACCCUGAUGCAGCAACGCGCGUGCGGUAUGACGGCCUUCGGGUUGUACACCGCUUUCAGCCAUGACGCGGUAGUGGCAGAAGAAGCACCGGCUAACUACGUGCCAGCAGCCGCGGUAAUUC
rnacentral:rRNA from 1 species